AUGGUUCUCCUACUGCUAGUGAUUCUCAUGAGAUGUUGCAUGGUCUAGGUAGAAAAAGACGUAUCUCUAACCAUGGCUGCCUUCAUGGGGUUUUUUUUAGGUGCUGUCAGUGGAUGAUGCUGUAACUAACAGUGAUAGUGAACAUGGACUUAGCUAAAAGAGAGGGAAAAGAUGGUGUGAGCCUUUACACUUUAGAGAGCUUCAGAUUUCAGUUAUCUAGGUAAGCGUUGAUGGUGCCUGUAAUACUGUGGUUACAAGAAUGUUGUUUUUAUAAACAGGCAUUCAGGUAAGCACAGUACUAAUAUAAAGGUGAGAAAUGAUGUGGCAUUUAUACACUAGAGACCCAAAUUUCAGAUAUCUAGGAAAUUGAUGAUGGUGAUCAUACCUGUAAUAGUUACCUGGUUUCGUAUAGUUUUGCAGGGAAGAAAUGAACUUGCUCCACUAAUAAGAAUAAGCGUGCGACUUUCUGUAUUCUUGCUUAGUGCUAAUUUGUACUUAACCCUAGUAGCAGUCGAGAAACCUGCAGGUAUCCAGGUAAGAUAUCACACUGUCUAUCACCUCACUAGUGACCACUGGAUUUUGGCAGGUAUUUCUUCAAAGGAGAGAGGUGUCUUUAUUAGGGUUUAACUUCACAUCUUUGAAACUAUCCAGGUAGCAUUGAUGAGUCACAAAAAGAAGUGAUCAAGGGUAUUUGCAGGUGUCCAGGUAGUAUAAGAGAUGUGUUAAACACAUUUUUCACAAUAUGCUUUUCAGGCUCCUUUCAUGAGAUUAUAGUGAGCUUAACAAUGGCCAUUAAUGGUGGACAUUAUGAGUGUCUGGUAAGUGAUGAGGUGUGCUUAAUGCACAGUGAAAACAUUUGACCUUCAUAUAAGAAGGUAAGUGAUCAAAGUGCCCCUAACACUUUUGCUUGCUUGUUUAUUUUGAAGAUACUGAGAUAAGAAACCAUAGUCCUUACCAAUGUUAGGAACCAUGAGUUCUUAGUUUUACAUAUUUUGGAAAAUUUAUCUUUAAUCCUGUGGAUACUGAGUCAUUGCCGUAUCCAGAUAAUUUUCAUGGUGUUCCUCACCACAGUAGUAACCAUCGGAUUUUUGCAGAUAUCCAGUCAAGAAAGAAUGGUUUCAUCUGGCAACAUUGUUGACCUGGAGUACUACAAAUGUCCAGCUAGAGUGUAUAUGUCCCAUAAUGAUGGAAGUGACAAAAGUUAUUGGCAAGCAUCAUGCUGUAAAAAGUGUCUUUUCACACAUAUUUCGAAAUGUGUUUUUCAAAUUCCUGUCAAGAGAUGGUGGUGAACCUAACAAUGGCUAUUAACAUGGUAGGUGUUGAUGUGGGUCUUUCACACUACAGAACAUCUAAUCUUCACAUACCUAGGUCAGUGAUGAUGCUGUCCCUAGUACUAGUAUUACCAUGUUUUUAUUUUCAGCUAUCAGGCAAUGGCUUUACUAGUAUAGAAGUAAGAACUAAUGCGACUUUUAUAUGGUAGAGACCUUCCUAUUUUCAGAUAUACAGGUAAUUAAUGAUGGUGUUGACAACUCUGAUACUAAUCUUAUUUUUUGGCUGGUUUGCAUAGAAGAAAUUAAUUUUGUCUAACAGUACAAAUAAGCAUGAGUGAUUUUACUGUAUUCUUAUGUAGAGCUAACGUGUAUUUAAUAAUCAUAGUGUUAGAUGGACCUGUAGGUAUCCAGCUAAUUUAUCAUAUUUUUCAUCACCACAGAAUGACCAUGGGAUUUCUGCAGGUAUCCAUUUAAGAGAGGGAAGUGUCUCUUACUAGAUUUUGACACUGGAGUUCUGCAAGUGUUCAAGUAAUGUUGAUGGAUCCCAAAAUGACAGAAAUGACCAGGGGAAUGUGCAGGUGACCAGGUAUAAUCGGAUGUAUAUCAAAUAUAACAUUUUUCAUAAUGUGUGUUUCAGGAUUCUGUCAGGAGAUUAUGGUGAGCCCAAUAAUGGUAGUUGAUGUGGGACUGCUGGAAUAUAGGUAACUGAUGUGGUAAGUUUAAAUCCCAGCACAUCUACUUGAUUUUCUGUAUCUAGGUAAGUGAUUAAUGAUGUCCCAAAUACUCGUUACUGUGUUUGUUUCUUUUUUCUUUAUGUAUUCAGUGAUGAAAAGUUCUUACUAGUAAUAGAAUCCAUGAGUUCUUUCUUUUCACAUUUUAGGGGAAAUUUGUAUAACUUUGUGAGUAUUGAGGGAUUGUCACAGUAAUUCUCAUUGUGCUUCCCACCACAUUCGUAACCAUGGAAUCUUUGCAGUUAUCCAAUCAAGAAAUUAUGGUCUUUUCUAAAAUGGUGUUUACCUUGGUGUACUACAAAUAUUCAAGUAGAGUUGAUGCAUCCAGUAAUACUGGAAGUAACUAAGGUUAGUUGACAGCAUCCUCAUAGGAAAUAAAUUGUGUCCUUUAACAUGUAUUUUCUAAAGUUUUUUUCAGGUUCCUGUCAAGAGAGCACGGGGAACCUAAGAUGGUGGUUAACAUGGGACAUUGCUGGUGUCCAGAUGUAACCCCGGGACUUCUGGAAGUGUGCAGCGAACAGAAUGUGUUUUCACUAACAGCAGUGCAGACCGUAGAAUGCUACAAGUAAUCAGGUUUCAGUCCAGAGAACAUGAUGAACUUCAAAAUGGUCAUUCACAGGAAUUCACCUGGUGCCCAGAUGCCUGUCCAGAGAUCGCAAAGGACCUAAAUAUGUUUGUUAACCGGAGACGUUGCUGGUAUCCAGGUAUGCCUUCAAGAGAUGAAGGAGUUUCUUACCUUGGUUUCAAGUUGGAAUUGAGCAGGCAUCCAGGUAGCAUCGAUGGGUCCUGAAAUGAUACAAGUGACCAAAGGACUUUGCAGGUGUCCAAGUAUCUGAAGAUAUUUACCAAACGCAUUUUCCACAAUAUCAAAUGCAUUUUCCACAAUGUGUUUUUCUGAUCCAAGUCAAGGCAUCAUAGUGAGUCUGUGAAAGGUAAUCAAGGAGUUUGUAAAAGGUGGGACAUUGCUGGCAUCAAGGCAAAGCUGGUGUGGGACAAAAGCACAGCACAGCACAUCUGAUCAUCAUGUGCAUAGGUUCCUGUGAAGUAAAUGUUACGAAACUAAAAGUGGAUGUCAGUAAAGACAUUUCUGGUCUAAGUAAGUGAUGAUGCACACCCUAACCCAUCAUGAAUCAUUUGAUUUUUUUAUAUCUAGGUAAGUUUUACCAUUUGAUUUUUGGUACGUAUUCAGGCAAAACAUGAUAGUAUUUUGUUAAUUCUAGCAGGCAUGUUAUCACAGAGUUUGUAUUUCACAGAAAAUUUACAUUUAACCAGGUGAGUGGUCAAUGAUUUCCAUGUGUCCUUGAAAAUAUCUUGUAGCUCCCCAUCAGAGUAGCAACCAUGGGAUAUUAUCAGCUGUGCAGUUAUCACCACCCAUGAUGGUGUCUCUAACAAAGAUGUGUUGACCUUGAAUUAAAGCAAGUGUCUAGGUAGAGUUGAUGUGUAUUCCAAAAUAAUGGAAGCAUUACAAGGUUGUAGGCAAGUACCCGGGGAGAACAAGUUGUGACCUGAAGCACAUUUGUCUUAUAUGAUUUUUCAGGUUCUUGUCAAAACUAUGAGGUGAGUCACAUAAUGCUCAGUAAUGAAACAUUGCUUGUAAACAGGUAGUGAUAACUGUUUGCUUCCUGUAAUGGGGGUAAUUACACAAUGCAGAGCAUUGGAUUUUCUAGGUAUGUAAAAGGGAUCCCUGAUGCUUAAGCUACUGUGUAUUUUGUAGGUAAUCCAUUCAGGUUUUUGGGCUAGUUUAUAGAGACCAGGUAAGGUUGUAUUAACAUGUAAAACACCUUGGUAUUUUCGGAUAUCAACUUUAUUAAUGUUUUACACAAUAUUAACUUAAACUUGUUUUUCACAUUUAUGCAGUUAAAAAUAAAUACGCCUCUAGUAAUACAAAUAAUCAAGAGAAUUUAUUGCAUGUCUUGACAGAUAAUGAGUAAUGAACACUUACAGGGCUACACAAAUCCACAGACAUCUAGAUUAACCGUAUUGUGCAACAUCAUGAAAUUAACAACAGGAAUUAUGCAGGGAUCUAAUCAAGAAAGUACAAGGAUUCUUAAAAGGAGUUUUCCUCAAAUUUCUACAAGUAUCGAGGUACAUUUGAUGAAUACAAAAAUAAUAAAAGUGACCAGAAAAGAUUGGAGGUAUAUAGGUAGAAUGAUAUGUGUACCAGUCACACUAUUCACAAUAUAUAUUUCAGAUUUACAUUAACAUAUCAUAAUAAGCCUAUCAAAACUAGGUAACAUGGGACAUUAUUGGCGGAGGUAAGUGCUGAUGCGGGCCUAAACUACAGCGUCACAGAGACUAGUUCACUGAUGACGUGUCCCUACACGUCUUCCUGCCGUGACUUUUUCCCAGGUAUCAGGUGAGAAGUGAUUGAGUCCUAACCAGUCUCAGAUAGGCUGGGUUUUCUAAUUUUCUCUUUCACUGAAAGUGUAUGCUGACCCUGUGAGUGUUGAGGGAUUGCAGGUAACCAGGUAUUUAUCACUGUAUUUCCCACCCCCACUGCUGCCCCUAGGAUUUGUGGAGGUGUCCAGUUGUGAAAUGGUAGUUUUCAGCUGUCAGGGUCAACGUAGGAUUACUGCAAGUAUCCAGGUCUAGUGGUGUGUCCCAUAAAGCUGGAAGAACUCAAGGUUCUUUGCUGGAGUCCUGGUGGAAAACCCCGUGUCCUUCUACAUAUAUAUCUUCGUGCCUAUUUCAGCCCCCUACCAUGACAUCACAAUGAAUAUGGUAACAGGUCUGGAGGUCAGCACUGAUGAGGGCUAAAAGCAACGCAUGGGCCACGUGAGGUUCAGCUGUCUAGGAAAGUGAUGAUGGGUCCAUCCUUCCUGUUGUUCCCAAGAUUUCGCUUCAGUUGUCCUAGGAAAAAAUGGUGUCCUGUAGAGAGAAAUGCUGUCUUCUGGGAUCAUGGCCCUGAGCUUGGGGACACUGUCAGCAUACAGGUUCCUGGGAGGAAAUCCUGACUAACCAGAGACAUGAUCAGGGGACAUGUCUGCUAUCUGGGUAAGUGAUGGUGUGUGCUGUAAACUCACCACAGACCAUUUGAUCUUAACGUAUUAGGUCAGUGAGGUUCCUUUCCCUGAACGGUUUACCAUGUGAUGGGUUUAUGGGUAUUCCGGUAAGAAAGGGUAGUAGCUCCCCAUUCUCCUUGCCAUGUGAUCCUGUUGUUUUCAGUCCAGGAGAGAACGUAUGAGGUAUGUACCCUGUGAGUGCUGAUUGAUUGACACGUGCCAGGGAAUUCACAUGGCACUGUGCAUCACAGGAGUAACCGCGGUGGAUUUGCAGAGAAGCGGGCCAGAGAAAAUGGCAUGUCCUACAAUGGCCUAGACCUUGGAGGGCUUGCAAACAUCCAGGUACAAUUUUGGCUUCCACAAUGAUGACUGUGUCCAUAGACACAUUGGUCACAUAUGUGGUUUUAGGUUCCCUUGGAAAGGUCACAGGAAACCUCUUUGUGCUUGAGCAGAGGACUGUGCCUGUAUUUAGGUGGGUGACGGCAUGGGCCUAAGCAGGCCAUGGACUAUCCAAUCUUCCCAUACACUGAUAAAUACAGAUGACUUUCCGGCUCUUGUCCCUGUCCUGCCAUGGUUUCCUCAGCUCAUUUUCUAUUCUUUAUUUUCUGCAGUUAUUCAGUUAAGAAAUGAUGCUUUGCCAACCAAGACUGGUAAGCAUUAGUCCUUGCUGUGUUCAACUUUAGGAAAUGUGCCUUGAACCUGAGUCCAUGUUGACUGAGGGAGAUGUGGGUGUCCAGGUAAAUUAUCCUACUCUACCAGAUCACAGGAUGGAAUGAUAGUUCUGACACAUCCUCAGUCUGGAGUCAGUAAUGGUGCCAGCAGUGGGGUGGAAGUUGGAGUUCUGCCGGGAUCUAGGUAAGGUCGACGGUUCCCAGAUGACGGCAGUGACCAGGCUGUGUAGUGCGUGUCUUUUUCAUCUUUCAGGUACACCAAGUGGCAUCCCGGAAAAUACCUGUCAGAUGCAUUUCUUCUGCUGCUGCUAGACAUGAAAUCAAGGCCGGCCUGAGAAUGACCAUUCAGGGGCCCUGGAUUGUAACCAGGGGUCCCGUAAAGUUCUCUUCCUGUAGAGAGGUAAGAGAUGUUGUGACAUUAUCUCAUGAAAGACAUUCUGUGUUUCCUGCAUGUAGGUAAAAUUAAUGGUGGUUUUGAGUCUGGUAGAGUAACCUUGUGUUUGGCAUAUGUGUCAUUGGGAAAAAAUAAGUAGUGAUUCCCAAUGCCAGUAAGCAUGAGAUUUUACUGUUUGCUUAUUCAGAGGUAAGGCUUUUGUUUGUUUGUUUGUUUGUUUUUUGCAAAUUUCACACUCCACACAAUAGACAGAUAUGCCAAUGCCCAGGUAGUUGAUCAUAUUGUCUGUCACGCCGAUGUGGACUGUGGUGUUUCUGCAGGUAUCCCUUGUAGGCUGUAGCCUCAGAGUUCUUGUGUUAUCCAGGUAACUUUGAUGAGUCGUGAAAUGAUGCCAGUGAACAAGAGUAUUUGUGAUUGUCCUUGUAGCACAGGUUGUGGAUCAACCACAAUAUGUCUUUCAGAUGUGUGUCAGGGCAUCACAGCAGGCCUUUCAAUCCUAGGUAAUGUGGGCAUUGCUGGGUGAGGUAAGUGCCACAGCCUGCAGCGUGGAACUGUCAUAGAGACCUAGUUCAGUAAUGAUGUAUCCCUACAUGUCUUCCCAUCGUGAUUUCUUUCCCAGGUAUUCGGGAGAGAAAUGAUUGAGUCCUUACCAAUCCCAGAUAGGCCGAGUUUUCCCAUUUUCUGUUUCACCAAAAGUAUAUGCGGAACCCUGAGAGUGUUGAGGGAUUGCAGGUAACCAACCAGGUAUCUAUCACUGUGUUCCCCACCCCUGUUCUGCCAAUAGGAUUUCUCCCAGUGUCCAGUCAAGAAAUAAUGGAUUUCUGCAUAGAUUUUGACCCUGUAUCACUGAAAUUGUGCAGAUAGAUUUGAUAUGUCCCAUAAUUGUGGAAGUGGCUAAGUUUAUCUGCUGUUUUUCUGCAUACCUGCAUAUCCCUCCCUCACUAUAAGACUAAACACAUUAUAACUAAACUCUAAAAAUAAUGACUAAUGCUUACCAGCAUUGGUUGGGAAAAUAUAAUUCCUUAACUAAAUACCUGAACAAAAUAUGGCAACACAAAAAUUGGGAAAACCUACAUAUCUGUAGAUCACAGUGGUAUUGAUCUUGCAUUAUUACAAGUAUCCAGGUAGAGUUAUGUGUUCCGUAAUGAUGGAGUGACCAAGGUUAUUUUCAGAUGUCGUCUUGGUGGAAAUGUUUGUGUCCUUUAGCACAUAUUUCACAAUGUGUAUUUCAGGUUUCUGUAGUGAGACCCUGAUAAACCUAACAAUGGUUGGUACGGCAGACAUUUCUGUUAUGCAGGCAAGUGAUGAUGUGUUCUUUAACCACAUCAUAGACCAUCAGAUCUUCAUAUAUCUUUUUUUUUUUUUUUUUUUUUUUUUUUGACAGAGUCUUGCUUUGUC